rnacentral:rRNA from 1 species
UACGAAGGGUGCAAGCGUUACUCGGAAUUACUGGGCGUAAAGCGCGCGUAGGCGGACCUGCAAGUCGGGGGUGAAAGCCCGAGGCUCAACCUCGGAACUGCCUUCGAUACUGCGGGUCUCGAGUCCGGGAGAGGUGAGUGGAAUUCCUAGUGUAGAGGUGAAAUUCGUAGAUAUUAGGAAGAACACCAGUGGCGAAGGCGGCUCACUGGCCCGGUACUGACGCUGAGGCACGAAAGCGUGGGGAGCAAACAGG